GCCCCAGUGGCCUAAUGGAUAAGGCAUCGGCCUCCUAACUUGGGAGUAAGCCGGGGAUUGUGGGUUCGAGUCCCACCUGGGGUA
rnacentral:tRNA from 1 species